rfam:Thauera sp. 27 Cont24, whole genome shotgun sequence.
CGGUAGCUGGUGCCACCGGGCUUAAACGAGCCGAACCCAGCCUUCAACGUCCGCACAGGACAAUCGCAACCCACUCGGG